UUCCAGCAGCUUCCAGAUGAGAUGCUGCUCCCUGUGCUCAGGAGAGUGCCAAAAGCUCUGGAUCCAGACCCUGCAGGUGAUGCCAUUUGCUGCUACCUUCCCAACCAGUCUUUGCAACAUCAGGAGCACCAGAGGCUCUUUAAUGUACCCUGCUUUUGAAUGAUGAUUGACAAAUAGGAUAAACCUGGGAAACACUUCACAAAAACUCUUCUGUAAGAAGUCAUUUUGGAAGUCCUAGCAGAUCAUCAAGCAGCAUUUGGUCAGGACUGCUGCAAGCAGAUAAAGAAGCAUUGGAGAAAGAUGCCGAAGGUAUAUAUGGGAAUUGGAUCCCCAACCCUUAUUAAAAGUCAGGAAAAGGAAAACUGGUGCCUAAGAGUGGUUCAUGUCUUUAAAACUCUCUCCUUUUGACUUCAGGAGAAGGCAAAAGUGAGUGUGUCCUCCUGCACUGAAAUGUCUUGGUGAAGACAGAGGACUUUCAACACUCCUUUGUGACUUAGGAGCACUGAACAUAGAGAUUUAGAAACCAAAUCCCUUUUUAACAGUCAUCUGCACACCUCCAGCUCCAGCUUGGAAAGCUGCUCAGAAGGUGCCUCUGCACGUGCAAACCUCUCAUCCUGCACAGCUUUUGAAAUUGGGAAUUUCAUGCACUGGGAAGCAGAGAUCCUCUGGGUGUUGGAUGUAAUCUCCUGGAUGCUGUCCUCUGCUCCAAUGAAUGGCAAAAAAUAAAAAUAAGCUCCUUUGCAGAGAAAGAUAUCUGAAAAGCAGGCCUAAACCCCAGACUGUGAGCAAAGCCAGUGAGAAUUUGAGUUGUCCACGUGGGGAGAGAGGUGCAGGAACAUGGGAGCAGGAAACAUGAGCAGCAGAAGCCCCUGGCACCACACAAAAGAGGAGAGACCUGAGUCUCUGUGGCCAGAGACACUUUCAGUUCCCAGGGGUCACUUGAAAUGAAGCCUUUUAUAAUAUGAAGUUAAUUUAAUUAAUCUGGAAACAAUCCGAAGAAAAAUCACUGCCAGCUAUGUUGCUUUUAAAUAAGGAUUUCAAUGGGCCAAGAUUUAGCAUCUUCAUAGACCCAUCUGCCUAAAGGCCUGUAUCUUAUCUGAUCAUUUCCAUGGCAACAGCUCUGGGAUUAGAAAAGGAUGAAUGUUUAGGAAUAGUUGCUGGAAUUUCAUGGAAGAUGAUGAAUUGAGGAUUACUUCACUACCUACGUGUUACCAUGGAAAUGCACAUUUACAAAUUGCACUGGAUUUAAAACCCCACCAUUAUUAGUACAAAUUUGUGCUGCUCUCUGAAGGAGCUCCAGGGGCAGAAGGUGCCUCUCACCUCUCCAGCCCCACAGAGCACAGAAAUUACUGUGGUGGCUGAGAAAGGAAAGGGAAACAAGUGGCAGGUCUUGGGCCCAAUUUCUCUUAUCAGACAACCUCCUAAAUGAAACCCAGGUAGUCAAAAGGGUUAAAAUAUUUUAAAAAGGGUAUUUCACAUACGGAAAAACCACCAGUCAAAACCACCCCUCCCCUUUCAACUUACAUAUAAUGGAUUUGAUAAAUGGAUGAACAGAUUUUUGAAUUGCCACACGUGACUUCUUGACUUAGGAGACUUUCAGUCUUGCAAACCUAAUUCUAAGACUGUUUUUUAUUGCUUUUGUGAAGUUCUUAUUUAAGUGUGAAACAAAUCUACAUGGUCUCUUUUGUAAAUGAUUCAUAAAAUAUUCCAUAUUUUAGUAACCUGCUCUGCUCCACCACUGGGACUGAAGUAGGACUUGAGACUAACUCUUACUAAAGUCUUGGAAAACACAGUUCCCAUCUUUGAAGCCCAGAGCAAAAACAGAGAAAUAUUCCCCAUCCAUACAUAAACCAUGAAAAUCCAGAGGGUCAGAUAAAUAACUGCUGGAAAUUCUUUUAUCACAGACACACCUGGUUUUUGUAGGGCCUGAGGAAGCAUCUUACCAUACAACAAUAAAUAUCAAAAUAAAGAAUGGCAUAAUAACUCCAAGAAA